AAGCUAGGAGUGCAUCCAAAUUCCAUAACUAAGUGAUAAAUAUCACUCCAAACAUUUUGCUACGAGUAUUCAAGGGAUUGCCCAUUUCAUUGUAGAAUCUUAAGGUUAUCUUGGCUAGGGGAAUGUAGGACAAAGCUGCAGUGUGAAAUAUUUGUUUCAACACUUUGGAAGUGGAUACAGGGUGCUAACAAUUGUUUAAAUAUGUACCAAUCUUUAGGGCAUGAAGGACCAAUUUGUCACGGUAGAAGAAUUUACAAGAUGGCGGAUG
rnacentral:lncRNA from 1 species